rnacentral:rRNA from 1 species
GGGUUGUGAGGUUAGGCGACUAAGCGUACACGGUGGAUGCCCUGGCAGUCAGAGGCGAUGACGGGCGUGCUAAUCUGCGAUAAGCGCCGGUAAGGUGAUAUGAA